rnacentral:rRNA from 1 species
AGAGUUUGAUCAUGGCUCAGGAUGAACGCUGGCGGCGUGCUUAACACAUGCAAGUCGAACGAUGAAGCUGGAGCUUGCUCCGGUGGAUUAGUGGCGAACGGGUGAGUAACACGUGAGCAAUCUGCCCUUGACUCUGGGAUAACUGCGGGAAACUGUAGCUAAUACCGGAUACGACGCCUUGGGGCAUCCCACGGGCGUGGAAAGAAUUUCGGUCAAGGAUGAGCUCGCGGCCUAUCAGCUAGUUGGUGAGGUAAUGGCUCACCAAGGCGACGACGGGUAGCCGGCCUGAGAGGGUGACCGGCCACACUGGGACUGAGACACGGCCCAGACUCCUACGGGAGGCAGCAGUGGGGAACAUUGCGCAAUGGGCGAAAGCCUGACGCAGCAACGCCGCGUGAGGGAUGAAGGCCUUCGGGUUGUAAACCUCUUUUAGCAGGGAAGAAGCGAAAGUGACGGUACCUGCAGAAAAAGCACCGGCUAACUACGUGCCAGCAGCCGCGGUAAUACGUAGGGUGCAAGCGUUAUCCGGAAUUAUUGGGCGUAAAGAGCUCGUAGGCGGUUUGUCGCGUCUGCUGUGAAAAUCUGAGGCUCAACCUCGGACUUGCAGUGGGUACGGGCAGACUAGAGUGCGGUAGGGGAGAAGGGAAUUCCUGGUGUAGCGGUGGAAUGCGCAGAUAUCAAGAGGAACACCAAUGGCGAAAGCACUUCUCUGGGCCGUAACUGACGCUGAGGACCGAAAGCGUGGGGAGCGAACAGGAUUAGAUACCCUGGUAGUCCACGCCGUAAACGUUGGGCGCUAGAUGUGGGUCACAUUCCACGUGAUCCGUGUCGCAGCUAACGCAUUAAGCGCCCCGCCUGGGGAGUACGGCCGCAAGGCUAAACUCAUAGGGAUUGACGGGGGCCCGCACAGCGGCGGAGCAUGCG